AUCACUUCUCAGCCUUUUGGCUAUGAUGAAGUGAAUAAUCUGUUCUUAUCAGUUACUCCUUGAGCUGAUUAUUCCUUAUGAAUAAUAGCCAGGAAGCCUAUGGUACAUGAAGCCCAGCAGAAUCUCACCAAUAAUUGCGGUCUGUUACGUGUAGGAUUGACCUCCUGGCAACAGAGAUGCUCUCUACCCUUUGUUGGCUGGGAUCGGUA
rnacentral:snRNA from 1 species